rnacentral:rRNA from 1 species
AGGACGAACGCUGGCGGCGUGCUUAACACAUGCAAGUCGAGCGGAAAGGGCCCUUCGGGGUACUCGAGCGGCGAACGGGUGAGUAACACGUGAGCAAUCUGCCCUUAGCUUCGGGAUAGCUCCGGGAAACCGGAAUUAAUACCGGAUAUGACUAUGGCUGACAUCAGCCACGGUGGAAAGUUUUUUCGGCUAGGGAUGAGCUCGCGGCCUAUCAGCUAGUUGGUGGGGUAACGCCUACCAAGGCGACGACGGGUA